GGCACAAGCGGUGGAGGUAUGUGGUUAAUUCGAUGCAACGCGAAGAACCUUACCUGGUCUUGACAUCCCGGAGACCCUUAGGAAACUAGGGGUGCUUCCAUCUGGAAGAAUCUGGAGACAGGUGCUGCAUGGCUGUCGUCAGCUCGUGUCGUGAGAUGUUGGGUUAAGUCCCGCAACGAGCGCAACCCUUGCCUUUAGUUGCCAGCAGUUCGGCUGGGCACUCUAAAGGGACUGCCGGUGUUAAACCGGAGGAAGGUGGGGAUGACGUCAAGUCCUCAUGGCCUUUAUGACCAGGGCUACACACGUACUACAAUGGCCGAUACAAAGGGCAGCGACACUGCGAGGUGAAGCCAAUCCCGUAAAAUCGGUCUCAGUCCGGAUUGGAGUCUGCAACUCGACUCCAUGAAGUUGGAAUCGCUAGUAAUCGUGGAUCAGCAUGCCACGGUGAAUACGUUCCCGGGCCUU
rnacentral:rRNA from 1 species